GGGCCGGGUAGGUCGGUUUGUCCCGGGCGAUGUCGGCGCCCUGGUGCUUGCCGAGCGUGGCGGUGUCGCUUUCC
rnacentral:tRNA from 1 species